AGUGAGGAAUUUUCCGCAAUGGGCGAAAGCCUGACGGAGCGACGUCGCGUGUGGGAAGAAGGCCUUCGGGUCGUAAACCACUGUCGAAGGGGACGAUAUUGACGGUACCCUUGGAGGAAGCCCCGGCUAACUACGUGCCAGCAGCCGCGGUAAGACGUAGGGGGCAAGCGUUGUCCGGAAUUAUUGGGCGUAAAGGGUGCGUAGGCGGUCUGACAAGUCUGAUGUGAAAUCUAUGGGCUCAACCCAUAGCCUGCAUCGGAAACUGUCGGGCUUGAGUAUGGGAGAGGUGAGUGGAAUUCCUGGU
rnacentral:rRNA from 1 species